GAUGAACGCUGGCGGCGUGCCUAAUACAUGCGAGUCGAGCGAACAGACGAGGAGCUUGCUCCUCUGACGUUAGCGACGGACGGGUGAGUAACACGUGGAUAACCUACCUAUAAGACUGGGAUCACUUCGGGAAACCGGAGCUAAUACCGGAUAAUAUAUUGAACCGCAUGGUUCAAUAGUGAAAGCCGGUUUUGCUGACACUUAUAGAUGGAUCCGCGCCGCAUUAGCUAGUUGGUAAGGUAACGGCUUACCAAGGCAACGAUGCGUAGCCGACCUGAGAGGGUGAUCGGCCACACUGGAACUGAGACACGGUCCAGACUCCUACGGGAGGCAGCAGUAGGGAAUCUUCCGCAAUGGGCGAAAGCUUGACGGAGCAACGCCGCGUGAGUGAUGAAGGUCUUCGGAUCGUAAAACUCUGUUAUUAGGGAAGAACAAAUGUGUAAGUAACUCUGCACGUCUUGACGGUACCUAAUCAGAAAGCCACGGCUAACUACGUG
rnacentral:rRNA from 1 species